GUUGGUAGACCAGGGGACUGAAAAUCCUCGUGUUCCCAGCCCCAAUCUGGAUUGGGAAUAGCCGGGAUAGCUC
rnacentral:tRNA from 1 species